rnacentral:rRNA from 1 species
UACAGAGGCCCCGAGCGUUAGUCGGAAUCACUGGGCUUAAAGGGUGCGUAGGCGGACUUGUAAGUGCUUUGUGAAAGCCCUGGGCUCAACCCAGGAACCGCAGAGCAUACUGCAAGUCUUGAGGAAGCUAGAGGCGGGUAGAACGAUCGGUGGAGCGGUGGAAUGCGUAGAGAUCGAUCGGAAUGCCAAGGGUGAAGACAACCCGCUGGGGCUUUCCGUGACGCUGGAGACGCGAAAGCG